ACGGGUGAGUAACGCGUGGGAAUCUACCUGGCUCUACGGAACAGCUCCGGGAAACUUGAACUAAUACCGUAUACGCCCUUCGGGGGAAAGAUUUAUCGGAGUUGGAUGAGCCCGCGUCUGAUUAGCUAGUUGGUGGGGUAAUGGCCUACCAAGGCGACGAUCAGUAGCUGGUCUGAGAGGAUGAUCAGCCACACUGGGACUGAGACACGGCCCAAACUCCUACGGGAGGCAGCAGUGGGGAAUAUUGGACAAUGGGCGCAAGCCUGAUCCAGCCAUGCCGCGUGAGUGAUGAAGGCCCUAGGGUUGUAAAGCUCUUUCACCGGUGAAGAUAAUGACGGUAGCCGGAGAAUAAACCCCGGCUAACUUCGUGCCAGCAGCCGCGGUAAUACGAAGGGGGCUAGCGUUGUUCGGAAUUACUGGGCGUAAAGCGCGCGUAGGCGGAUUGGUCAGUUAGGGGUGAAAUCCCAGGGCUCAACCCUGGAACUGCCUCUAAUACUUCCAGUCUAGAGUUCGAGAGAGGUGAGUGGAAUUCCGAGUGUAGAGGUGAAAUUCGUAGAUAUUCGGAGGAACACCAGUGGCGAAAGCGGCUCACUGGCUCGAUACUGACGCUGAGGUGCGAAAGCGUGGGGAGCAAACAGGAUUACAUACCCUGGUAGUCCACGCCGUA
rnacentral:rRNA from 1 species